rnacentral:lncRNA from 10 species
GCUGCAGCCAGGAAAUGGCAGAACCAGGUUUUUAACCCAGGCCUUCCUUAACCUCUAGGCCAUAUUGCCUCCUGAUAGAGCUUAGUUGCUACCACUCCCUCCCCACAUCAGCUGCUUGUGCCUUGAUUCCUGGCUCAGCAGCAGAAAUCACAGCCAUGAACCAGUUGAAAGGGUUGGAAAAUGACUUGCUUCCAGGAGGUAGUCAGGGCACCUGGAAAGAAGUACAACAGAGAAGAUGCUCAGGCUAGAACUGGCCCUGCUCUGCCUCCCUUGGAAGAAAUGGCCUUGCCUGCAGCUCCGGUUGGGUUUUGAGUUACCUAGAGGCAGGAGGUAAAAAACUAAAGAGGUGACUUGUGGUAAUCACCUUUUUCAUUCCUUACUGAUGGAUGGAGCCACAUGCUUGUCUCAUGUGCCUCCCAGCCCUAGUGCUUGGGCCAUGGAGGAAGCUGAGAGGGGCCCUGCUGGUCAGCAAGGGUCAGGUGCAGAGGCUGGUGGGCAAGGGCAGCCUGACUUUGGCCUUGGGGUGGGUCUGAGUUGCAGAGAGAAAGACUGAUAAAAGAUAAUUGGGAAAGAUAAUUGCAGCUUUUGCUGCUGGGGGAGGAGACUCCUUGUUGCUGGGCUCCCUUGCCACAAGGGCUGUUGGUUUCCCCUUUUAGGUUUACAUCAUCCAGGUCACUGAUGGCAGCCAUGAGUGGACAGUAAAGCACCGCUACAGCGACUUCCAUGACCUGCAUGAAAAGGUAACUGUUAAGAGCUGGGAGCACGUAUCUCAGGGCUGGGGGACCCGUAGGCCAACUUUCCAUUGUGCCACAUAUUAGUUUUAGGGCAAAACAGGUUCCAUCUCUAUAGUUCUUUAAUAAACCACUUUGUUAAUAUAACUGCGUUCAUUAAUAUAGCAUGUAAAUGCUAGCCUUCAGCUCUAGCAUGAGCCACUCUGCAAGGAGCAUAUUUGAAUUUCAGUUUUAAUAUUUCCAGUCCUAGCUUGGGUAUGAGAUGCUCAGACAGUUUCCUGGGAAGGGGACAGGUUUGAACUUGUUUGAUCUAGCGAUAGCUAUUCCAAAGCCUUACUUUAAUAUCUGGCUGUGAUUCCAUCUCUUUUUUUUGCUUUUGGAGAUGCUGUCUUUCUCUGGGUCAUUUGCAGCAUAACUGUUUUAAAGACACACCGCUGCCCUGAUUGGUUUUUACUCUGGCUUGGAAAAGAUGGCAAUUUUAGGGGCAAAAGGUGUUACUUUUCUGAAUGUCUCUAAAGUCUCCAGAUGGAAUUCCUUGUCUAGAAUUGUAUUGGUAUUUCUAAUGCUAAUUGGAUUUAAAGAGGCCAAAUCCCAGGUGCACUAGUUUGGUCACUGAUUUUGGUACUACUGCAGGGAGGGGCUGUGCAAGUGCUGACAAGCGCCUGCCCUCAAGCUUCUUGCCUUGGUCUUACAUAGGCACAGAGCCUCUUAGUCUGUGGUUGAUGUGCUUAUGUUUUUUUACAGCUCGUUGCAGAGAGAAAGAUUGAUAAAAAUCUGCUUCCGCCCAAAAAGAUAAUUGGGAAAAACUCAAGAAGCUUGGUGGAGAAGAGGGAGAAGGAUCUGGAGGUCUACCUCCAGAAGCUCCUGGCUGCCUUCCCUGGCGUGACCCCCAGAGUACUGGCCCACUUCUUGCAUUUUCACUUCUAUGUAAGUUCCUCAUCGGGUUUUCACCUGUGCCUGCAAACCCACAACUGCCAAACUUGAGGCAGCAAACCAGGGGAGACCUCAGCUUUGAGGUGGGCUGGGGUUUGACCCUAGGUUAGAAGAUGGAGGAACGUCACCCUGGUUAGGAAUGCAUUGUGGCCAGAAGCAUGUUAGUUGACAGAUUUGCCGUAAAUUAGACUAAAUGUGGCCACAGAGA